GAUAGAGGGAGAUGGGCCUGGCUGCAGGGAGCUGGACACAAGGAAAUAACUAGGAGAGAAGAAAGUCAAGACAGUAAAGGAAAUGGAUGGCUGUUCCCCUGUCUUAAGGAUCAGGAGAGACUUCCAGAGGAUGAUGUAGAACCUACCCUACCUACCAAAUAGUAAUAUAAGCCAUGUGGUUUGAGCAAGAGAAACUGCAACAGCUUAUUACAAAGCUUGCAUCAAUUUUUUAUACACAGACUAAAGCCUUCUGCUUCACCUGCUGCUCCCAUAAAAAAGAUCCCACAACAAAGCAAAAGAUUUGCAAAUCCCCAAAAUGACAAACAUGGGAGGAGUCAUGGUAAAGUCAAAGUCAUGGUAAACCCUGCAAAAAACAUCACUUACUACCAAAAACUGUGAGUCAGUUAAUACUGCUUUGAACAGUAGUUAUUUAUUAUCAACAGGAAUCCACAACUCCAAGUGGCAAAAUCUAAAUAUUUCAAAAGAUUUAGGCACAUACAGACCAUCUGCAAACAGGAGAUGUAGGAGAUCUUCAUCUCAGACUUCAAGAAUACUCUGUUGCACAUUUCCACAUACCAUGUUUCCUUACAGAUACUGUCUUAAGUGUAGGUACUUCAGUGCUCCAUAUUUUACCCAGUAUAAGAUCUUUGGUGAUGACAUCGCUUCAGCAGUUGCUUUUGGCUACCGACAGUUACUAAAAACUUUUCUCCUCAAAACUUCCUCUCCAUCACCAUGUUCAGUUGUGGGGGCGGGGAGUGUUAGAGAGGCAGCUGCUGAGUCAUCUCCUUCCCUCCCACAAUUCUGCACUAGAGGGGGAAGAUCCAUUCAUAGAGAAUUAUUUUUGCACAUUCCGAACAGUAUGCCUCAACUCUUACCUGAAAUGACCAUCUCUAGGAUGUUAGAUGAUAGUGCAGCUUCCCUGCCCAUUCAGUAUUUGGCCUUUCUGCUCAGCCUGACAAGAGUGCCAUCUGUGAUGAUGUUCUGAUUGUAAUGACAUCAUACCACUAAGGCCAAGAGAUAACUGUGAUAUGUUUUCUAUCUGGCCACUUUGGGCUUGCCUAAGUAGUGUGAGGGAACUGCUGAUGCCAUAGCACCUGGUGAACACCCCAGCAUUGACACGUCUCGUCUGAACCUUUGUACAUAUGUGCAAUAAAGAUU